AUGUAUGUGAGAAUGGGGCUGGCCGAUGGGGUGUUGGGUCAGCGGGGAAAGGCCAGGGGAGCCACCCAGUGGGCCAGCACCCCUUCCUCCAACCCCAGGCCCAGGGCAGGUGCUGGGGAGCCAGGUGGUGUGACUGCAGUCACUUGGUCUGCUCACUGCCUCUUUUCAAAGGUCACACCUUCUGGAAUCAGGCGAAGGACCACGGCCUUCCCACUCCCCGUGGCAGCUGUGGGAGGGACUCCUGGUGGUGCUGGGUGUCUGAAGGUGUGGGGGCCGCUGCCCACCCCCGGUCAGCGGCCAGCUGUGCAGGGCUCAUGUAGGACUUGUGAGCCAGCCCCCAACCCCAGGGCCGCCCUGCCUCUCCCACUGUGUUCCCGGCCGUGGACAGCAGAGCGGAGGGCUUGCCUUUGGAUGGAAUUCCCAAAUCAAAUCAUCUCACCAGGGUGAAAUUUUAAUUUAAAACUUAAAAGAGACUUUUCUAACUUCCCUGGUUUGUGGUGCCUUUAUUUGCCUUGGAACGGAGAGCGUGUUUCUUGGGCAGAGGGGUGGGGGGCCCUUGGCUGUACUGCGGUUCAGGGGACCAGCCUCAUGGCCAUGCGGUGGGGUCAGGUGUUCUGACAAGGGGGCUGAUAGGUCGGGGUGAGGAGAAGGAGGAACNGGGGGCUGAUGGGUCGGGGUGAGGAGAAGGAGGAACAGGUUCUGGCUUGGUCAUAGUAACCCUCUCCUCUUGGCACUUGGCCACCACCUCACAGCCCACCACAGGCUGAGCCUUAGCCCUGGAGCCCCUGUCUUUGCAGUUGGUGGUGGGGGAAGCUGCCCUCCUGCCUCGGGGGGCCCGAUGGUGGCCCCACACUUUAGCCUGUCCCCCCCGCCAAGGUAUCUUUCCGCCCUCUCUGCUCUUCCUGCCCCCAAGCUCCUUCGGGGCACCCUGUCCUAACGUGCGUGUUGUGUGGCCACAUCCCAGAGAUCAGCCGCAGCUCUCAGGGAGCCAGAGGCCUGAGUUGGGUCCCCAAGGGGCUAGGAUAAAGCAGUGAUGGCAGUUCCUGGCCUGGUGGGGCCCUUCCUCAGACUCCCACGCAGGUGGCCAGGUGGGUGCGGAGUUGGUCCGCCCAAAUGCAGGAUUUGGGUUGCAGGGCCCAGGCUUGGGGUUCCUCCUUGAGCCCCUUACCGCCCCCCACCCAGACCCCAGACCCCUCCAGCACGUGUGACUGGACACAUUCCCUUCCUUCUUGGCAGCCUGGACCUUGCUGUCGACCAGGCCUGCAGGGUCUGGAUGUUCAGACCCAAAGUGCAGAAACACCUGGGAAGGGCCCCACCUGGCCGGCUGGCCCACCCUACUACUGGGCCCUUGUGUCUUCACGGGGUCGCUGUGGGGCAGCCCCUCUGUGGGUGUGGAGGAGGACUGGGGAUGCAGCUGCCCUCGGCCACCCACUCUGCAUGUGACCAUGUGCUCGAGGCUGGGUUUGUCCUUUCAGUUUUGUUUCCUGGUCGGAGAUCCGUGGGACUCCUCCCACCCACACCCCUCACUCUGCCCACCUGUGCUUUCCCAGGCUGGAAGGGGAAGCCCCUCACGGGCACGUGGGCGGCCAGUGCUGGGUGAGGGCGGGCAGGCGGCCCAGGUGUGGGGAAGCGGAGUGGGGGGGGGCCCUCGUCCUUUCAGGGGCAUCGGGGUGGGUGGGGGGCCUGGCUGCUCCUCCCUCCUCCCCGCCAAGCUGNNNNNNNNNNNNNNNNNNNNNNNNNNNNNNNNNNNNNNNNNNNNNNNNNNNNNNNNNNNNNNNNNNNNNNNNNNNNNNNNNNNNNNNNNNNNNNNNNNNGGGGUGGGUGGGGGGCCUGGCUGCUCCUCCCUCCUCCCCGCCAAGCUGGUGAGUUUGGAUUCUAGGCCAGGACACUGAGCAGAGGAGGGCGCGGGCCUUGCCUGGCUGCCGCUUGCAGAGCAAAGGGUGCUGGGUGCCUGCUGGGACUCUGGGGUUCUAUGAUGAAUCAGAUCUCAGCAGAUGGGGAAGAGGGGGGGUGCCCCUUCCCAUAGGGAGUGCCUGCUCCACCCAUGACACCCCCAGAGAGCCCCACCCUCCGCUGAAACCCUUUUCUGGGCUAUUUCCUGCCACGCCCACCUGUGGCUCUUUGUCGCCCCUCCCCUCACACCUCUAAAGCAGGCCUCUCACUGGCAGAGGGGCGUGGGGGUGGGGGAGGGAACCCCACCUUUGAGGAGGGGGCUGAUGAGAAUAGAUCUGAAGGCAGAAAACUGCUUCCAAGACUAUCUGGGUGGGAGGCAAUUCUCCCCUUGUCCCUGGGGCUUUGAGGACAAGGGCUUGUCCCUUACAGUUGACCCCUCAUCUGUUAAGGCUGACAUGCAGCAGGACAAGGGCCAGGCCUCAAGGCCGUCAGACAGUUCUCUAUGUUCCUGGGGAGGGAAGGGGAACAGGGACACAGCCUGGCCCCAGCAGCCCCUCUUGCAUCUGCUGCAGCCUCCAAGCGUGACCCCAUGGACUGUAGCCCGCCAGGCUCCUCUGUCCAUGGGAUUCUNNNNNNAAGAAUACUGGAGUGGGGUGCCAUUUCCUUCUCCAGGGGACCUUCCCAACUUGGGGAUCGAACCCGCGUCUCGCAUCGCCUUCACUGGCGGGCAGAUUCUUUACCACCAGCACCACCUGGGUAAGCCCCUCGUUUCGCAAGCUGGAGAGGAUGGCAACCAGGAACCUUCCCAGGUGCUGGUGGCCCCAUCUUCCCCAGGAUGUGCCAGAAGCCUGCUGGCGGCCACCCUUAAACCUUCACCCCAGGGUACAGCCUGAGCAGAGCACGGACCUGAAGCAUCUAAACCCUCCAGAGGGCCCUGGGCACUUACCCAGAGGGAAGGCGGUGCCUGUGCCAGAGAAGGCCUUAGCACUUGGUCCAGCCAAGGUCGAGAGAGGGCCAACCCCCUGUAGGCCUGCCAGUCCCCGGGGCCUGGGGUCUGGCCUGUGCUGCCGCCUCCCCACCCUGGGUGCUAUACUCAGUCCUCUUGAAGCCCUGGAGCCCUCAGAGAACAGCUGGCCCUGUUUGGGAGAGCCACGUCCGUCAGGCUGCAAGAAGUCCACUGUCCCACCUGAAUCAGGACCAGAGGAGCCUCAUGGCCCCGAGCUUUCUCCUAA
ensembl:lncRNA